rnacentral:rRNA from 1 species
GAUGAACGCUGGCGGCGUGCCUAAUACAUGCAAGUCGAGCGAACGGACGAGAAGCUUGCUUUUCUGAUGUUAGCGGCGGACGGGUGAGUAACACGUGGAUAACCUACCUAUAAGACUGGGAUAACUUCGGGAAACCGGAGCUAAUACCGGAUAAUAUUUUGAACCGCAUGGUUCAAAAGUGAAAGACGGUCUUGCUGUCACUUAUAGAUGGAUCCGCGCUGCAUUAGCUAGUUGGCAAGGUAACGGCUUACCAAGGCAACGAUGCAUAGCCGACCUGAGAGGGUGAUCGGCCACACUGGAACUGAGACACGGUCCAGACUCCUACGGGAGGCAGCAGUAGGGAAUCUUCCGCAAUGGGCGAAAGCCUGACGGAGCAACGCCGCGUGAGUGAUGAAGGUCUUCGGAUCGUAAAACUCUGUUAUUAGGGAAGAACAUAUGUGUAAGUAACUGUGCACAUCUUGACGGUACCUAAUCAGAAAGCCACGGCUAACUACGUG